UGGUUCUGGCAUNGAUGAAGAACGCAGCGAAAUGCGAUAAGUAAUGUGAAUUGCAGAAUUUAGUGAAUCAUCGAAUCUUUGAACGCACAUUGCGCCCUUUGGUAUUCCGAGGGGCAUGCCUGUUCGAGCGUCAUUACAACCCUCAAGCUCUGCUUGGUAUUCAGCACCGCCCCUGUGGCAGGCUGCAAAAGUAGUGGCGGUCGGUAGCUGGCUCCAAGCGUAGUACAUUUCUCGCUACGGAGACCGGUCAUCGACCUGCUAACCAGUCAUUUUUUACAGGUUGACCUCGGAUCAGGUAGGGAUACCCGCUGA
rnacentral:misc_RNA from 1 species